rnacentral:tRNA from 1 species
AUUUUAGUAGCUUAACUUAGAGCGUAGUAUUGAAGAUACUGAGGUAACAAUAAUGUUCUUGAAUA